GUUUAACUUGAGUACAUCGUUCGUUCCUUAAUCGGAAAUUGUACGUGAGUGAUAAGCCUAUAUUAUGGGUCCCCCUACGGAAUUACCAGGUGGUGUUCGAGGGCAGGUUGCACAGGUCUUUUGGACCAGAUGGAUGGAUAAACAGGCCAUGACGACUUAGAUAAGAACUUUAGCAAAAGGUGGUCGGCAUUCCUACAGUCUUCAAGUAAAAUAGUCUUUCCCAAUAAAAUACAACUGUAACCAGUGUUUGGACUCCCAGCUCAGUAGCGCCUUAUUGUUUUCUCUAUUCCGGAUUUAAUUAAGGAUAAAUAUGCCACUGUUUUCACACUAACGAUACCUCUCCCCAACUUACGUUAAACUGGAUAGUUUCGGGUAUUCAGAUCCGGACGGAAUAGGUUAAGAGGAUAAGUCUCGGAGCUCCACUCGCUCUUCUUUCCUAUGAAGGUCAUACCUCGGUGGGGAUAUCUUCCAGAGCUGAGAGUAGGGAUCGCCACGCAUUAAUGGGUCAUUGCCUUACCAUCUCGUAAUAAAAUUUGACAAUUUUACAGGGUUCUUUUUACUGAAAUCCCUUACCUUACACUUACACAUAUAUUAGGAAAUUCCAGAGUCAUCACGGUAAAAUUGAAAAAUUAAUUAUCUAAACGCUUUACGUGAAUGAGCCAUGGCUGUGAUCCUCUUGAGGUUAUGGCAUAUGCUUUAAUUUAAUUACCUAUCUUUGUUUUACUUAUAUCGUGAUGCGAAACCCAUUCAUUAGUGGGAAGUACCGCGAUUUGGAUGAAAUGUAAACACUCGCUUUCGAAUUGAAGAGGUCUACCUGUCGAUUAGCUGGAACUGAUCUAUUUCUUUGCAUCUAAGAUCGAAGAAUCGCUAAGAAAACAUUAUCUCAAUUACUGGAAAUUGCAAACUUGCAGGUAACCUGUUUAUAAUCGCUUUUGUCGUUAGUUUAUCUUGUCGUUUAUCUUUACCAAUGUCAUGAGGAACUGCUCCUAAAUUUGUUAAAAUUAAUUAUCUAAGCGUCUUUACGUGAAUGGCGCCGGGCUGUAAUUCUCUUGCGGUUACCCAUGGCAUAUGUUUUAAUUUAAUUGCUUACAUUUGUUUUACCUAUAUCGGCUAUAUCGCGAUGCGAAACCCAUUAACUAAUGGGAAGUACCGGGUUUUGGAUGGAAUGCAAACACUCGCUUUCGAAGUGAAGAGGGCUACCUGUCGAUUAGCUGGAACUGGUCUAUUACAUUGUAUCUAAGAUCGAAGAAUCGCUAAGCAAACGUUAUCUCAAAUACCGGAAAUUGCAAACUUGCAGUCAUGAGGAACUGCUCCAGAUCAAGUUAUCCCGACCCCAUAAGUGAUCAGCUGUGCUGGGCACUUGCAUUUAGUUAAGUGUAACCUUGCCCAGAAUUGCUAACUUAUGUACUGUUUUAUGUAAUUAAAUAUGUUUCGCG